AGCGAAGAGAGAAACGGCUCGACCCCUUGGACUGGUGAAACAUCUGUUGCCAUCUCGGGCUAUUUCUCUUGUGCUGGGAGUGGUUUUUUUUGUUGUUCUUUAAUAAACAAGCUUUUUCCACUUCCCCUCUGAAGAAAUUCUUCCCGAACCCAGUGGUGGGGAGGGGGGAAGGUGCGGAGGGUUUUGUUUCCUAUAAGGGGCUCCUUUGGAGAUAUUUUCCCCUAAUUUGUCCUAAACCAGUUCACCCUGAGGGGGCCACAUUCCACGGGGAAGGUGUCAGCCCGUUCCUGCUGAGGGGGAGGCGUGGGUCUGAAGCAAUGUCUGCUCCUUCUCCCAGUUCCGCCUCUGGGGACGAGGACCCCAACCCGGCCCCUGCCCAGAAACCGCUCUCCUUGAGAGCCCCCUCCCCUCGGGAGGGGAGCCCUGCGGGGAAGAGGGAGAAUUGGAAACCCGAUCUGUUGCAUGUUAUAGAAAGAAGAAUGUUAUAACUACACCGAAGUCUACUAUGCUACAUUUGAUCAUGACCAUUUUCUGAACUGAAUUUCCUUGAAGAGAGAAAACCUUCAAACUUGAGUUUCCCAACAGAAGAACAAGAUAACUGAAGUUUUGAAACAGAGAAGAAGAUCAGCCAAAUUGAUGUGAAGAACAUCUCAUUGCUUUGCUUUGUAUUAUGAAAUAAAUUGUAGUUGUAUUAAUAAAAGAAAUGUUAAAUUGUUAAAAAAACAGUAACCAGGAGCCAAUUGGUUUUUAAUCAAUUUAAUACCAUACCUUCAAGUUUUACAUCAUAAGUUUUGAGUCAAAAUGAAAAGAAAAUUUAUAUUUAUGUAACAUGAAAUAAAUCUGUUUGUUUUACACAUUGAACUCCUGGAAACUAUGAAACAUCUUUCUAUGGAACAUCCUUUUAUGAAAUGGUAAGCUUUCUAUGAAAUGUUAAAUUCUUUUUAAGUUUGUCACUUUUGAGUUUUUGUUUGACAAUUUAAAACAAUUUUUAAUUACCUUUUGAGGCCAAUUUUUACCAGCUAAUUAUUCAAAAAUUAAGAUAUUAUUUCACAGUGAAUUGAAGAAAUGAAUAAAAUGAUAGUUAAAAUACAUAAUCAGUGAAAAACAAGACAAGUAUAAGCUAAAUUAGACAUAUCCAAAAUUAUUUGAGUUUUUGAAAAAUUUUAAAAUUAUAAUUAGUUUUAUUUUAUGUUUGUAAAAUUUUAUGAUUUAUUACACUAAUACCUUUUGUUCUUUUAGAUAAACUUUAAUGUCCUUUUUGUAUUUAAGAACGGGCAGAUGCUGUAUCGUGCUUUUUGGUUUAUUAGUAGGU